rnacentral:rRNA from 1 species
UAGGGAAUCUUCCACAAUGGACGCAAGUCUGAUGGAGCAACGCCGCGUGAGUGAAGAAGGUUUUCGGACCGUAAAGCUCUGUUGUUGGUGAAGAAGGAUAGAGGUAGUAACUGGCCUUUAUUUGACGGUAAUCAACCAGAAAGUCACGGCUAACUACGUGCCAGCAGCCGCGGUAAUACGUAGGUGGCAAGCGUUGUCCGGAUUUAUUGGGCGUAAAGCGAGCGCAGGCGGAAGAAUAAGUCUGAUGUGAAAGCCCUCGGCUUAACCGAGGAAUUGCAUCGGAAACUGUUUUCUUGAGUGCAGAAGAGGAGAGUAGAACUCCAUGUGUAGCGGUGGAAUGCGUAGAUAUAUGGAAGAAUACCAGUGGCGAAGGCGGCUCUCUGGUCUGCAACUGACGCUGAGGCUCGAAAGCAUGGGUAGCGAACAGGAUUAGAUACCCUGGUAGUCCAUGCCGUAAACGAUGAGUGCUAAGUGUUGGGAGGCUUCCGCCUCUCAGUGCUGCAGCUAACGCAUUAAGCACUCCGCCUGGGGAGUACGACCGCAAGGUU